CUCGCCGAGCCGGCGGUGUGCUCGCGCGUCGCGUUCCUGGUCGCCUUCGCCGAGUCUUCCUCCUCGGGAGUUAUUCGCCGUGUGCCCGCGUUUCCGAAAUACCCCGCCGCAGUUGACAUCGGGCGUGGCGUUGGUUCGGUCCUCGGGGAGAGGGUCGUCCCCAUACCUCGGAUUUCUUCCCUAGGGAAGAGCUUACCGGUACCCGUGACUAAACGAUGACGACGGCGACGUCGACGUCGGUGUCGGAGGUGCCGCGAGUGCCGUGAACUCGGCGGUCGAUCCUCGGUCGAGAUCGAAGGGGGAUCGGCGAUCGACGGGGGUGAUCAUUGUGAUUGUUCGUGGUGGUUUUGGUGCACAGACCCCGAGGGAUUCCUGCGACUCAUCCGGCUAGGCCUCGUCCUCUUCGGGGGCAUCUUCAUGUUGGGAGUCCUCAAGCGGCGCUGGAAGCCUUCUAAACGGGCUUCCAGCGGCCGCGGCCCCGACUCGCCCUUAAGCUCGGACUUAACUCUCGACAAACCACGCCCGAUUCCAUCCCCUAGACAAAUCCACCCCCUGUACGGCGAGAAAGCCGGAUUCCUGGGGUACUGCGAUACGAUCGGUAAUACAGAGAACUUCCCGCCCGCCCCCAACAUCGUCGUGGAGGGCGGAAGGAUCGAGUUCGUGCGCCCCUCGCAAGAUGGCGCCACCACCCCUCGCCGGAACACCGUCUCGAGGGGGUCGCAGACUUUCACCGACCAAUCGGAGAAGUCCGACCCGGCGAAGGAAAGUUUGGAAGAACGAGUGCAAGAACUGGAGCAAACACUACAGGCUGAACGUGUUGCUGCUCAAAGAGAUCGAGCCCUCAUCACAAAGUUGCAACGCCAAAUUAAUAAGAGGGAGGCGACGCAGCGAGAUGUGGAACGGGAACGUCGACAACGCGUGGAAGCUGAAGCCAGGGUUCGGGAAGCUGCAGCUGAAGCCGAACGUGCACGUUCGAGGGUGCAUCACCUUCAGAGAGAGCUCGCCAGAAUGGAGGAGACUUCUCGGGGGUUGUUGCAACACAAACAACGGGCCGAGCAGUUGAAGCAAGAGAAGACGGCGCUCACCCUUUCUUACGAGGCACGCGUGCACCAGUACCAGGCCCAGAUCUCGAAGCUGCAGCUGGAGAGCGAGUCGAUGCGGGGUCAGCUGCGAGGCCUCGAAGCUGCAUGUGCAGGUGAAGUGCACGCAGCCCUGGUCGCCAGGUUGGCCACCCUGGAGUCGGAACACGCGGCCCUGGCUAGGGACGCCGACGCCCAGCGUCGGCAAUACGAGCGGUGCCUGGACGACGUCGCCAACCAGGUGGUCCGCGCCCUCCUGUCGCAAAAGGGACUCAGGGAAGAAAUCGGGGCGCUUCAGAGGCGCAUCCGGGAGCUGGAGGCCCAGAAUCGAGCGCUGUCGGGACUCCUUGCCCAGGCCACGAGUCCAGGAAGUCCCACGGACCUCAUCCAGGGCAUCAUCGAGGCUGGUCCCGCAGCUCUGGUCGCGGCCCUCGGGGUGGACUCUUCGUGGGUACCCUUGUCAAGGCCGCGUUCUCUGAACCUCCAAAUCCCUGUCAUGGCCACCGCGAAAUGCCGCAGGAACAGGCCUCUAGGGCAAAAGCCAUCGGAGGAGGAGGGAAGCGAGAGUCCGGAAAGUGGAAACCGGGACGAGGGUUACUCGACGAUGUCCAGCGACGUCCAAGGCGAGGGUGCUCGUCAGGAACCUUCCAGGGGCUUGGAGGACCUGAAGGAAGCCACGGACGAGACGGAGGGCGACGUCUCCCCUGAUGGCCGCCUAGUCGCCCUGGAUGCCGGGGACCCCGACGUCCUUUUUCUUCCCUUGAACCUAACUCUGGGCAUCAACCCCAGACACAGCUACCCUCCGACCAAAGACCUGCUGCCCUAUCAGCACGUGAUGAGAAGCUUCUCCGACAGCCACCUCUGCCUGAAGCUCACCACCACGGCCAACCUGACACCCUACAACAUCGCCAGUCCCACGGGUUCCUCUUCCCUGCUCCUCGUCGAGGAGGAGGGCUGGGAUGCCGAGUACGUCCAACAGUGGCUUAGGUUGGACGACACGAGGAGCGCCCAACAACACCGGGACCUUUUGGAGCUGGAGUACGACCGAGCGGAACUCGAAGACUGGAGUUUCUCACUUUCGACCGAAGAUCUCGUCCAAACGGAACCUAACGCGUGGAAGGAGCCGGUCACCACCCCGGCACUUCCUGCCAUCAAGGAGCAGAAUCCUUUGGAGCUUGAAGAAGACGCCAACGAGUGCUUGUGGAACGGCGCGAGUUACCUCGCUGACCGAACCGGGGGCGAACUGGUGAGAAAUGUUGCAUUGCUAAUGGAUGCCAGAGCAACAGGACCUUGGCCUUAUGCCUCGAGUCCUGGAGCAUCCUGGAGCAGCGAGGAUGGUGCCCUUGAAAACUCCAGCAAGAGGUCCUCCGCUGCACUUUCCGGGUGCAGCGACGAUCCCGAUUCUCCUUCCGUGGGCACAGACUUCACCAGAGACUUCUACAGGCUUGUCAAAUUCGAAAGCACCAAAAGCUUGGCCAGCACGUCCUCGCGAGGAGGAAAACAACCUCCGGAUCGGGAGCAAGCUCUUCAGAGUGUUCUUUCGUUCAUCGCCGAGCAACAAAUGUACCUCGCGGAAUUGCCUAACAAUUCCUCCGAUCACAAUGGCGAAUCUCUUGCGACUGAAGUUUCAGAGAUGAAUGGCGCGAAAAACGAUCGAAUGAUGGACAUGCGCUGCCCGGAAUCCGUGGAGUCGCUGGUCGAUUCAGAAAAUGGCCAUCUCGAGAACCUCCACGAGGUUGGGGCCGAAGAUGACCUACUCGAGAAAAUCCCAGUGCCUCCCCUGGCACCCGAAGAACGCAUAAUCAGUGCAAUUGCAUGCAACGGAGGAGUUUCCUACACCACGGUGGCCCCCUCGGAGUUGGUCGCGGUUCCUGAAGAGGACGAGGAAGCGGCCACCUCUUCGACUCCUAGCACGGUGGUAAACAAUGUGAGUCCUGCGAGAGCGCCACUCCUGAUAGAGGGCAGGGACAGGUCGCUGAGCUUCCACGAGAGAGCCACUUCGAAGGACGUGAUCGACGAGCUGAACAGGAUGAUCAAGAAAGGAGAGGAUCAUCCCAUUGCCAACGAUUCCCAGGUGGUCCUGGAUAAACUUGACCUCGCUUGCUGCUGUCCCACAGGAUGGGUUCACGUGGAAAGGAACAUAGACUUUACCGACCCCAAGGCUAGAGCCAAUCUUUUGGACGUGAUGCUCGCAAGCAGCGAAAGUUCAUCGACGACCUCGAGCAGCGGUUCUGCCGGCAGCGAUUCCGGGGAUGAACCUCCGGAUUAUCGUCACUUGCUCAGACUACAUCGUUACAGGAGGCAAAAGAAAGCAUCGGCGGCCCAGGCGCAUCGGGUGCUGUGCGUGUCCUCUUCCUGGAGCUCUUCGAGGCCCUCCAUCAUCGGGCGAGACGACUUCUUCGUCAGGUACGGGGACAAGGAGCGGGAGGCUGUGGCAUCCUUCGACUUCCUGGACGAGAUGACCCUGGCGUCGGUGGCCUCGCCCGUGGGCUCGGGAGAGAGUUCUUCGGAGAUGGACAGCCCGACUGAGAACGGGAGAAGGCACUCCAUGCAACUGUCUCCGCUCUGAGACCUGGAUGCUGGGGAUUUUAUCCUGCGGAGCAGACGAUUUCGUUGAGGAGGUUGGAUCAAAUAUGGUCAAUCGAAGAAGGAGAAGAAGGGAGGUUCUAUCUAGGUUGCCUGGACUCCUUUGUAAGGAAUAGCCACCAGGAGCGGUUGGGCUCUCACGGGAGUUCUUUGAAGAUGAUCAGAGAGCUGGAAAUGAGAGAUGUCUCUUCCAGAAGGAUGUUUUCCAGUACCUUUGAAGUAGACCGACCAGGCGUCUGGAUGAAGCAGCUACGAGCUGAUGGCUGGAGAUGUGUAUUUUAGAAACGAGGGUGGAGAAUGAGUACAAUGAAGAUAUUGUCAACUUGAAACCGAGGAGAGUCGUUCAUAAGUAUGCUGAAAGUUAUUCCAAAUUGAUAAUGUCGUCUGGGGUUUCAACUCGUCGAUUCCCUGGGAACCGAAAUCCGGGCUAAUUGGGGAGCCGAGCCCAACUCGGAUCUGAAACACUGAAGUGCGUUCGUCGUCGAGGGGAAUCGGAUGAUACCAUUUCUUUCGUAGUCUUGGAAUAAGGAGAGCAUUCCGGUGCACCUUUGAAGCCGACCGAACCGCCGUUUCGGUUGGAACGAUCAAGGGCGAGUCGACUCUCUCGAGUUGGUGCUGGUCGGGUGUCCAUUUGUUGGGGACCGUUAGAUGCUCCUUCGAAACGACGACAAGGAGUUCGAACGUUGAAUCCUGAAUCUGAAAGCCAACUUAAAAGGACGAUCUUUAACCUGAACUCCUGAAGAUGCGUGCAAACAACUCCAGGGCGCGCCCAGGGCACCUUCCCAGCUAAAGUUUCCCCUGGAAGCUUGAAGAUCGCCCUCUAGUUUAGAAGGACGAGUUAGAUAAUAUAAUCCGCCGCCGCCUCGAGGACACCAUCCACGAAGUCCACGAAGAGCUAAACGCCAGUCCAAGAGGUGACAGCGAACUACCACUGUAAAAAGCCGUUCCCUCCACCUAGGACCCAACCUCGAGACACUUCCCGAAGACCUGGAAGGGUAGUUCACCCAUCUGAGGAGAACAAAACAAUCUCCAUUGAUCCGGCAACAGGCGCUGAUGCAUCGCCGGAUCGGCUCCACACGAGUAGAUCCUCCUUAGACGUUAGAGAAAAGAAAGUGUAAUCCCAAGAAGGAUCAACGAUUCUUCUGCCGUAACCAUAAGAGAUCUCGAUAUGUACUUCGAAGCGUCGUUAAACCUAGAGACGAGUCCUUUUCACCCCCGGAAGGGAUCGAACAAAUCCUGGAUCUCGUUGCACAACUUCAGGGAAUCCUCUGGCGUCCACCUUGAAGAUGUCCUGCGGAAAGAGACGAGCCGAAAGGACGUCCCUUGAACUACCGGGGCACGUCUUCUCGUUGACAUAGACUUAACGCGUCACCAGGACCUUCCAAACUGAGCUUAGAAAUUCUAGAUUAAGGCUACCAAGUCGGAUUUUAUACGGGAUGUAAUGAUAUUUUCUACAUUAUCUUUUAACGGGGAGGUCGCGCGAUUUAUUGCGAUAUCCUGGGAGGGUUGUCGAUACAAAUGGCGCGACCCUCGAGGACCUUUAAAAGCUCCCUCGACGAGGCGCAAUCUCUCCACCGAGCCUGUAUAUUUUGCUUGGGAAAUCUGUAAAGAAGCGCGUCGGGAGGAUAUUAUUGGACAGCGAUCAACAGUUAAGGCUGCGAUUAGGAGUCCGUAGACAACUUAAGCUAGUUGAUAUCGAAAUAGAACGGACGUUAGGGUGGCUAGUAGGCGAUACUACUAUACGCGUCCGAAUAUAGUUGGUACCCUCUAGUAUCUCGUGCGAGGCUCACUGGAUCUAAGGACCUAAACGAUGUCGAAUUUCUUUUGUUUUUUUAUUUAUGUUGAAAUUAUUAGAGUAACUAUCACUAGGGAGUUCACGUCUGCUAAGAGUAAUGGGUCGAUAGAAUCAAAAUAUUUUACACGUAUAUAUAUAAAUAUUAUAUAUAUAUAUUAGGGAUAUUUUCAAUAUUCGAAUUGCGAGCAGGUAGACCGGGGACUGUGCAGGCAAAAGUCGCCGGGUUUCGGGAUUAUUUGCGUUGUUACAAAUGUUUUGCGCUGACAUGAAACAGAGACUUUUACGAUUCUUCCUUCUACGCGGAUUGGGCGAUUUUUGCCUGCUUACUUCGACUGCGUUUGCGGCGACGACGAUGAUCCUAAGCCAUUGUUAGCAUCCCGUCGUUGGGGGUGCCCUAGAUGCGGAAACUAAUUAUUAUUCCGGAGGAUAAUGUGUAUCGAAUUGAUUUGGACCCUGUACAUAGGAUGUAUCAUAGUACAACAGAUGUAAGUUAUCUUCUCUUAAACCUAAUAAAUAACGACAAUAUACGACGA
rnacentral:misc_RNA from 1 species